rnacentral:misc_RNA from 1 species
AAGUCGUAACAAGGUUUCCGUAGGUGAACCUUCCGCACGUUAAACAACCCUGUGAACCUUGAACGUGCUCUCGCACACGCUCUAGCAGCAAUCCCUGGUAAAUCAUUGUUGACCAGCUAUUGAGUCAGGGACCUCUGCUUUAAAACGAUGCGAUACGAGCGCCAGAGUAAGUGCGGCCUGGCAUCCUAGCAAUCUGUCAGUGGUUGCGCAAGGAUGGCGCAGUAAACGAUCGCUGUAGGCCCACACGGCCGGCGACCGGGCCUCUGUGCUUCGGCACCUAACGACCCCAUGUUUCGUACCCGGUGCGCUGUAACAACCGCACCACAAACUCGAACAACUGUUAACAAUGGAUAUCUUGGUUCUC